AGUGAACGCUGGCGGUAGGCCUAACACAUGCAAGUCGAACGGCAGCACAGGAGAGCUUGCUCUCUGGGUGGCGAGUGGCGGACGGGUGAGGAAUACAUCGGAAUCUACUCUGUCGUGGGGGAUAACGUAGGGAAACUUACGCUAAUACCGCAUACGACCUACGGGUGAAAGCAGGGGACCUUCGGGCCUUGCGCGAUUGAAUGAGCCGAUGUCGGAUUAGCUAGUUGGCGGGGUAAAGGCCCACCAAGGCGACGAUCCGUAGCUGGUCUGAGAGGGUGAUCAGCCACACUGGAACUGAGACACGGUCCAGGCUCCUACGGGAGGCAGCAGUGGGGAAUAUUGGACAAUGGGCGCAAGCCUGAUCCAGCCAUACCGCGUGGGUGAAGAAGGCCUUCGUGUUGUAAAGCCCUUUUGUUGGGAAAGAAAUCCAGCUGGCUAAUACCCGGUUGGGAUGACGGUACCCAAAGAAUAAGCACCGGCUAACUUCGUGCCAGCCGCCGCCGUAA
rnacentral:rRNA from 1 species